UACGAAGGGGGCUAGCGUUGCUCGGAAUCACUGGGCGUAAAGCGCACGUAGGCGGCCUCUUAAGUCAGGGGUGAAAUCCUGGAGCUCAACUCCAGAACUGCCUUUGAUACUGGGAGUCUUGAGUUCGGGAGAGGUGAGUGGAACUGCGAGUGUAGAGGUGAAAUUCGUAGAUAUUCGCAAGAACACCAGUGGCGAAGGCGGCUCACUGGCCCGAUACUGACGCUGAGGUGCGAAAGCGUGGGGAGCAAACAGG
rnacentral:rRNA from 1 species